GCCAGUAUGGUAUAGUGGUUUGAGCAUUGAACUAAGACUCUAGAGACCAGGGUUCAGUUCCCUGCUCAGCCA